rnacentral:rRNA from 1 species
UUGAAGAGUUUGAUCAUGGCUCAGAUUGAACGCUGGCGGCAGGCCUAACACAUGCAAGUCGAGCGGUAGCACAGAGAGCUUGCUCUCGGGUGACGAGCGGCGGACGGGUGAGUAAUGUCUGGGAAACUGCCUGAUGGAGGGGGAUAACUACUGGAAACGGUAGCUAAUACCGCAUAACGUCGCAAGACCAAAGUGGGGGACCUUCGGGCCUCAUGCCAUCAGAUGUGCCCAGAUGGGAUUAGCUAGUAGGUGGGGUAAUGGCUCACCUAGGCGACGAUCCCUAGCUGGUCUGAGAGGAUGACCAGCCACACUGGAACUGAGACACGGUCCAGACUCCUACGGGAGGCAGCAGUGGGGAAUAUUGCACAAUGGGCGCAAGCCUGAUGCAGCCAUGCCGCGUGUGUGAAGAAGGCCUUCGGGUUGUAAAGCACUUUCAGCGGGGAGGAAGGCGUUAAGGUUAAUAACCUUGGCGAUUGACGUUACCCGCAGAAGAAGCACCGGCUAACUCCGUGCCAGCAGCCGCGGUAAUACGGAGGGUGCAAGCGUUAAUCGGAAUUACUGGGCGUAAAGCGCACGCAGGCGGUCUGUCAAGUCGGAUGUGAAAUCCCCGGGCUCAACCUGGGAACUGCAUUCGAAACUGGCAGGCUAGAGUCUUGUAGAGGGGGGUAGAAUUCCAGGUGUAGCGGUGAAAUGCGUAGAGAUCUGGAGGAAUACCGGUGGCGAAGGCGGCCCCCUGGACAAAGACUGACGCUCAGGUGCGAAAGCGUGGGGAGCAAACAGGAUUAGAUACCCUGGUAGUCCACGCCGUAAACGAUGUCGAUUUGGAGGUUGUGCCCUUGAGGCGUGGCUUCCGGAGCUAACGCGUUAAAUCGACCGCCUGGGGAGUACGGCCGCAAGGUUAAAACUCAAAUGAAUUGACGGGGGCCCGCACAAGCGGUGGAGCAUGUGGUUUAAUUCGAUGCAACGCGAAGAACCUUACCUGGUCUUGACAUCCACAGAACUUUCCAGAGAUGGAUUGGUGCCUUCGGGAACUGUGAGACAGGUGCUGCAUGGCUGUCGUCAGCUCGUGUUGUGAAAUGUUGGGUUAAGUCCCGCAACGAGCGCAACCCUUAUCCUUUGUUGCCAGCGGUUAGGCCGGGAACUCAAAGGAGACUGCCAGUGAUAAACUGGAGGAAGGUGGGGAUGACGUCAAGUCAUCAUGGCCCUUACGACCAGGGCUACACACGUGCUACAAUGGCAUAUACAAAGAGAAGCGACCUCGCGAGAGCAAGCGGACCUCAUAAAGUAUGUCGUAGUCCGGAUUGGAGUCUGCAACUCGACUCCAUGAAGUCGGAAUCGCUAGUAAUCGUAGAUCAGAAUGCUACGGUGAAUACGUUCCCGGGCCUUGUACACACCGCCCGUCACACCAUGGGAGUGGGUUGCAAAAGAAGUAGGUAGCUUAACCUUCGGGAGGGCGCUUACCACUUUGUGAUUCAUGACUGGGGUGAAGUCGUAACAAGGUAACCGUAGGGGAACCUGCGGUUGGAUCACCUCCUU